UCCGCCGCGAGGAGGAAUCUGAAGGAAGCGGGCGGCAAACCUCCGGUCUGAGGAACAAGAACUCCAUAUAAGGCUAUGUAUGGUUGGGUGAGCUUGCCAACGUGGAGGGAAAGACUGCGCUCUUACCCGGGGAGGCCUACGGAUACGCCGGGCAUACCCGGUAACUUCU
rnacentral:misc_RNA from 1 species